UACGGAGGGUGCAAGCGUUGUCCGGAAUUAUUGGCGUAAAGAGCUCGUAGGCGGUGUGUCGCGUCGGCCGUGAAAACCUGCAGCUUAACUGUGGGCGUGCGGUCGAUACGGGCAUCACUGGAGUUCGGCAGGGGAGACUGGAAUUCCUGGUGUAGCGGUGAAAUGCGCAGACUAUCAGGAGGAACACCGGUGGCGAAGGCGGGUCUCUGGGC
rnacentral:rRNA from 1 species